CCUACGGGAGGCAGCAGUGGGGAAUAUUGCACAAUGGGCGCAAGCCUGAUGCAGCCAUGCCGCGUGUGUGAAGAAGGCCUUCGGGUUGUAAAGCACUUUCAGCGGGGAGGAAGGCGUUAAGGUUAAUAACCUUGUCGAUUGACGUUACCCGCAGAAGAAGCACCGGCUAACUCCGUGCCAGCAGCCGCGGUAAUACGGAGGGUGCAAGCGUUAAUCGGAAUUACUGGGCGUAAAGCGCACGCAGGCGGUCUGUCAAGUCGGAUGUGAAAUCCCCGGGCUCAACCUGGGAACUGCAUUCGAAACUGGCAGGCUAGAGUCUUGUAGAGGGGGGUAGAAUUCCAGGUGUAGCGGUGAAAUGCGUAGAGAUCUGGAGGAAUACCGGUAGCGAAGGCGGCCCCCUGGACAAAGACUGACGCUCAGGUGCGAAAGCGUGGGGAGCAAACAGGAUUAGAUACCCCUGUAGUC
rnacentral:rRNA from 1 species